CCUACGGGAGGCAGCAGUGAGGAAUAUUGGUCAAUGGACGCGAGUCUGAACCAGCCAAGUAGCGUGAAGGAUGACUGUCCUAUGGGUUGUAAACUUCUUUUAUAUGGGAAUAAAAUGUUCCACGUGUGGGAUUUUGUAUGUACCAUAUGAAUAAGGAACGGCUAACUUCGUGCCAGCAGCCGCGGUAAUUCGGAGGUUCCGUGCGUUAUCCGGAUUUAUUGGGUUUAAAGGGAUCGUAGGUGGAUUGUUAAGCUAGUUGUGAAAGUUUGCGGCUCAACCGUAAAAUUGCAGUUGAAACUGGCAGUCUUGAGUGCAGGAGAGGUGGGCGGAAUUCGUGGUGUAGCGGUGAAAUGCUUAGAUAUCACGAAGAACUCCGAUUGCGAAGGCAGCUCACUGGACUGCAACUGACGCUGAGGCUCGAAAGUGUGGGGAUCAAACAGGAUUAGAUACCCGUGUAGUC
rnacentral:rRNA from 1 species